CUCCACACACACAUUGCCCUACACAUACACUGUCCCCCCAUACACACAUACACUGCAACUGUCACACACAUACUGACCCACACAUACACUGCCCCUUAACACACACACUGCACCCCUGACAUACACUGCCGCCCUCACUCACACACUGCAACCUUCACACACUGUCCACCUCACACACACACACUGCACCCCUAACACAUUGCACCACUCACACACACCACUGUUCCUAUGCCCUAUGACAGCCCCAUUUCCCAGCAGACCUCAGGUAAGUUGUCAAACUGUUCUUAAACGGUUUGACUACUUACUCUGGGAGGGGGUCCCGGCACUAUUGGCACCAUAACCACUACACUGAGCUGUAGUGGUUAUUGUGUCUGGAUUAUUUAUUUAAAUAAUCUACAAGUGCCCCUCCUGAGAUCAGGCUCUGGAUCCGCCACUGAUUAGGAGACGGUUACAAUAAUCCAAGCGGGAAAUUACUAGAGCAUGGACAAGCUCCUUGGUAGCAUCUUGCAUAAGAAAGGGGCGGAUGUGGGCUAUGUUUUUAAGAUGGAAUCUACAGAAUUUGCUAACAUACUGAAUCUGAGGCUCAAAGGUGAUACUAAAAUCAAAUAUGACGCCAAGACAGCGCGCUUGCAAGGAUAGACUGAUGUCAGGACCGUCUCUAAUAUGGAUUGGACCCUGGGCAAACAUUUGCUUGGGCCCCCUGAACCCGGUGGUCCCCU